CUUGAAGCGACAAAUAAUGUUAUUUUGCACUCGAUUAUGUCUGCGUUUUUAUACGAUCAAUUACAUGUACCAGUCAAAAUCGAAAGUCAAAUCUCUGUUGCGACAAUACAUCGGAAUGCCCUCACGGUCAACGUGAUGUAAACAUGAAGUGUGGGCAUGAGGACGUGUACUUCCUUGUUCCAGGACAAACAUAUUUUUAGACUUUAAUGAAAAAACUCUUUUUUAAAAAUAAUAUAGUUUUUUUCUUAAUUUCAUUAUUGUUUUAUUUUUUCUCUCAUUUUCAAUGGAAACAAUUAUUUUGAUUCCCCCCUGAAAAAGAUAAAAUAUCUUUCAAGAAACUUGGAAUCAAACAUUUACAAAAAAAAACAUGCCCCCAUUUCCCCUGCAAUCACCCA
rnacentral:lncRNA from 1 species